GCGAGCCAGCAAGGACCCCUCGCAUGAAAAAAACCUGACGCCCUCGAUCUAUCCGCUACCACGACCGGAACCAUCCCAGGCGCCACCGAUCCUUUCGCUGGCGCCGAGAUCCUAGAGGAUGCGCCGCCGCCUUCGUUGCGGACCUCCAGGUCGCCGUCGGGACACCACUGCCGAGGAUGGAAUUGGAUCCAGACUUGGUGGUUUGAAAUUAUUCUCUGUCGUAAGUUGCAUAUCCUAAGCAAUAAUUUAUGACAUUUUGUUUUUGUUCUUAUGAUAUAAAGUUCAGUGUUACUUUCACUCUAUUUCAUGGUAAUGAUGUGUUGUAUUUGUUUUAGUGAAUGGAGGAAUCUGAGAACACACAGUGAUUUAACCUUACCAUGUUAAAUGCUUAUAUGCAUGUUCGUUCUGUUCAAUUAAAGAUAGCCAUGAUUAUAGGAAUAUUAUCUUUCUACACGCAUGCUUGCGUGUUCAUAUAAACAUGAUACUCACCACCCUUCAUCCUAAUUUGUAAUGCAAAUACUUGACUAAUGCUAGAUCUUGUAUAGCCCGACUUUCCACUUUUAUCACAAAGGUGAGAAGGCUAGCGAACUGGUCGGUGUCGAUGUGAAGAAACUUGAAGCUACCAUGCAAGGUCCAGAAGAGCCGUGGCAGCGAUAGGGCGGUGCAGCUGGACCUAUCGGUUGCCCCAUGGGCCAGUCGCCAUCGGUUGAGGUGAAGCAGGUGAAUAAGAAUGGGGUGGCAAUGAAGGUGGUGGAGGUGGAGGAGAUCAGCAAUUAAUUCAAGAGGGAGGUGAUUCUCGUCUACGGUUUAGAGGUGGAGCAGGUGGACAAGGCCUCUUUAUUGCUCAACAAGAUUGAUGAGAUAUGUUAAGUUUAAUUUUUGGAAUGGUGAGAUCUGUUCAGAUGCUUUGUUUACUAGCUAAAAAAUUACAGCAGAUAGGGACUGAAGAUUGUUGAUUUUGCUCAACUUGAUGCGGCUUGAUUAGUACUCAAUCAAGAUGAACUGACCAUCAUAGCUGGUGUUGAUUACAGGGGAUGUGCUGGUGCCAGUGACCAUUGCUAUUCGAACAAAGGAGUGGAUCUAGCAAUAUUACAAUCAAUAAAGGAAUAUUAUCUUUCUACAAGCAUGCUGGUCGGUGUCGAUGUGAAGAAACUUGAAGCUGCCAUGCAAGGUGAGAAGGCUAGCGAACUGGUCGGUGUCGAUGUGAAGAAACUUGAAGCUGCCAUGCAAGGUCCAGAAGUAAGAACUUAUUUUCAUCUAUUUCCUACAGGCCUUCAAAAAUAAAUAUGAGCUCCCAACUAUUCUGCCCAAUCAUAUAUCUCAUCAACUCCAUUGAACAAAUUUUGUUUCUCCUAAGUGAGUCUAUUAUUAUUCCCCUUGUACCUCAUGGAAAAACUAUGAGUUCUUAAUUAUUCUUCCACUCCAUCAUAUUCACCUUCAUCUAUUCAGUUGAAUGAAAUCAUGUUUUCUUCUCAGUGACUCCCUUGCUUUGUGUGCAAGUGCUACACUGGAUUACCCAGGAUUAUUCUUAAUAUUAAUGGCUUCGGGCUAGGUUUUGUUUAGAACAUAAAUUUUGAAUAUAUGAGUCUACAUAUUGCAUGCUU